CAACCUGCCGACAACACUGGGAUAGCCUUUCGAAAGAAAGAUUAAUACCGGAUGGCAUAGUUUUCCCGCAUGGGAUAAUUAUUAAAGAAUUUCGGUUGUCGAUGGGGAUGCGUUCCAUUAGGCAGUUGGCGGGGUAACGGCCCACCAAACCAACGAUGGAUAGGGGUUCUGAGAGGAAGGUCCCCCACAUUGGAACUGAGACACGGUCCAAACUCCUACGGGAGGCAGCAGUGAGGAAUAUUGGUCAAUGGACGAGAGUCUGAACCAGCCAAGUAGCGUGAAGGAUGACUGCCCUAUGGGUUGUAAACUUCUUUUAUACGGGAAUAAAGUGAGCCACGUGUGGCUUUUUGUAUGUACCGUAUGAAUAAGGAUCGGCUAACUCCGUGCCAGCAGCCGCGGUAAUACGGAGGAUCCGAGCGUUAUCCGGAUUUAUUGGGUUUAAAGGGAGCGUAGGCGGGUUGUUAAGUCAGUUGUGAAAGUUUGCGGCUCAACCGUAAAAUUGCAGUUGAUACUGGCGACCUUGAGUGCAACAGAGGUAGGCGGAAUUCGUGGUGUAGCGGUGAAAUGCUUAGAUAUCACGAAGAACUCCGAUUG
rnacentral:rRNA from 1 species